rnacentral:rRNA from 1 species
GACGAACGCUGGCGGCGUGCUUAACACAUGCAAGUCGAACGGAAAGGCCCAGCUUUUGUGGGGUGCUCGAGUGGCGAACGGGUGAGUAACACGUGAGUAACCUGCCCUUGACUUUGGGAUAACUUCAGGAAACUGGGGCUAAUACCGGAUAGGAGCUCCUGCUGCAUGGUGGGGGUUGGAAAGUUUCGGCGGUUGGGGAUGGACUCGCGGCUUAUCAGCUUGUUGGUGGGGUAGUGGCUUACCAAGGCUUUGACGGGUAGCCGGCCUGAGAGGGUGACCGGCCACAUUGGGACUGAGAUCCGGCCCAGACUCCUACGGGAGGCAGCAGUGGGGAAUAUUGCACAAUGGGCGGAAGCCUGAUGCAGCAACGUCGCGUGCGGGAUGACGGCCUUCGGGUUGUAAACCGCUUUCGCCUGUGACGAAGCGUGAGUGACGGUAAUGGGUAAAGAAGCACCGGCUAACUACGUG